rnacentral:rRNA from 1 species
GUGCCAGCCGCCGCGGUAAUACCGGCAGCCCAAGUGAUGGCCGCUGUUAUUGGGCCUAAAGCGUCCGUAGCUGGCCGCGCAAGUCCAUCGGGAAAUCCACCUGCUCAACAGGUGGGCGCCCGGUGGAAACUGUGCGGCUUGGGACCGGAAGGCGCGACGGGUACGUCCGGGGUAGGAGUGAAAUCCCAUAAUCCCGCACGGACCACCGAUGGCGAAAGCACUUCGAGAAAACGGAUCCGACAGUGAGGGACGAAAGCCAGGGUCUCCAACCGGAUUAGAUACCCUGGUAGUCC